rnacentral:rRNA from 1 species
GGUAUCUUAUUUAAAUUUUUUAAAAAAGUUUAUUAAUUCGUUUAUCUCCGGUAUUUUGUAGAAAUAUUUUAUAAUUUCUUAUUGCCCCAAUAAAACAAUUAUUACUCAUAUUGUAAAGAUCUAUAGGGUCUUAUCGUCUUAAAAAUAAAUUAAUGCAUUUUUACAUUAAAUUAAAAUUCUAAAAGUUACAAAGAUACAGUUUGUUUUCCAUUCAAUCAUUCAUUCAAGUCUUCAAUUAAAAGACUAUUUAUUAUGCUACCUUUGCACGGUCAGGUUACCGCGGCCCUUAAAAUUUCAGGGGGCAGAUUAUAUUUUUAAUACUUAAAGCUAAAAAAA